CGUGGCUUGAAGAAAUCAAGCUCCUUCAGCAAGUUCUUGGGUGCCUCGCCCAUGGCUCCCCGAAAAAAGACCAAGAUUCGUGGUGGCCUGCCAUCCUUCACUGAAAUCUCUCGUCGACCCACUCCAGGACCUUUGGCUGGUUUAGUGCCAAGUCUGCCCCCUCCAACCUGAAUAGCAUUGAAGCUACCAAGGCCUUGGUUGACCUAACAGAGCCUGUGGCAUGCCGACUAAGCCUGUCCAAGACAUGGCCAACCAACACAUGCAGCCUGUCUCUCUUCCAGCUUUAUCUACUGCACCCUGCUGUAACCAGAUGGGCCUCCACCUUCUGUUUGAAAUAUGAUGUGCCUACAGAGGUGGGAUUCUUGUUCCCCAGAAGAGGAACCAAGCUGUCAUACUUGAUCUUGGAAGGAGACUUGAAGUUUAGGGUCAAAGGUUAAGGGGCAGCAGCUGGUCUGGCCCCUAGAGGUGUUGACCAGAGGCCUCUGGGUGGACACAUUCCCAAAUCAGAAGUAGAGGGUGGCUCUCAAGAUGUUCAAAGAUGGCAACUUUAAGAGCUGUAGUGGCUUUGUAAUUUGAUGCUUUUAUUCUGUUUUUAAAUUAAAAUGAGGUACAACAACUUUGAUAAU
rnacentral:lncRNA from 1 species